AGAGAUUCUGUCCAAGAGAAUCCAAUCACAUCUGGCGUUUCCAAAUUAAGCUUCGCACACUCUGUCCUCUAAGGCUCAGGAAAUCCUCCCCUUUCUCUCUCCCAGGGAACUUCACAAACAGUCACCAAGAGCAGAGCCCUCCUCACAAGAGACAGAACACGG
rnacentral:lncRNA from 14 species